UUCUAACAUAUUACGAUUAUCAAAUAAAAUUCUCCAAUUAGAAACAACUAUCAAAUGAAACUCUAAACAAAAUCAACCUAAUUAAAUUCUAAAAAGUUAGCGUAAUUCCAAUUAAGCUUCCAAACAAAAUCAGUACUCUAAUGAUCAACCAAUUAGCAAACAUUAUUAUUUAAUUAGCAUUUUGCAAACCUUAUGAUCAAUACUCUAGUCAUUACCCAACUAAUACGAUCAGCAAACUCAACAUCAAAUUGAGAUCAACCAAAAAGAAAGGGCCUAAAAGGAAUAUCUAUAAGCCUACACGACAAGGACUGAACGAAACGCAAAGAUCCUUCAUCCCUCAUCGCUCACAGACGCUCCCAGUCCAGGAGAAAACGAAGCGAACACACCAGGACGUCACACCGGUCACCGGCGGCGGCGUUCCCUCCCGCUAACGGGAUCUCACUCGUCCUCCACAUCCUAACCUACCUGAAGAGUAACAAACUCAACACACAGAAAAACAACGACAUCGCGAGAUACGACUAGAUAACGGCGGAAACGGAUCUAUUAGAAUGGACGGGAUCCAAAUACAACCCGUACUACAACAAGGAGAUUGAUAGUGCGAAAGGAGGAAGAGAUCCUACCGACGAUGGUGAAGGCGGACUCGUCGGCGGAGAAUUCGAAGCAACGGUAACUCGAAACUUCUAGUUAAUUCGAUCUUCUUCUCCUCGCCUCGUUUGGAUCAUACUGGAUCUAAGCGUUCCUUGCACAGCAGAUGAAACGGAUCUUCCAGUUCGGUUGCAUUUCGACAACGACGACGAUGGCGGUUUGCGAUUCUGAUCUAACGAAGCGGAAGAAGAAGACGGCGUUGAUGAAGCGGUUGAAGAGUGUUGGCUAAUGGAGAUUGAAAAAGAAAGAGAGGAAGAAGAAGAAGUGGGAGAUUCCAUAAGUCUCCAAGAAGCGAAGGCUUCACUCAAUUCUGGUAUUUAUAGCACUGUUAUGCACGGUGAAUUUGAAUUGAUUCUGCACUGCUUUUUGUUAUUUUGAUGUCGUUUUCGUUUUCAUUGUCGUUCACCGCUUGCGAUGCCAUUUCUGUCUUGGCUUGCAUUUGCUCGGCGUGUCGUUUUGGCUUGGUUUUGUUGGAGUUGUUUGGAGAUUUACGAUUGCUGCCGUUUACGAAUUGUAGUUGCGUUUGGAAAUUUGCAGCUUGAAUGCGGCUUGUUUGUAGUCUUGGCUCAGCUGCUGUUUGCACUUGAAUUGGUAGCAGGUGGUUGAGUUUUGUACGUGGUGUAGACGUACUUGGUUUAUGGAGUUUUUGCUUUGGCACUUUUCUCAAAUUGCUUUUCUUAUUAUUAUUUUUCCAUUUGGCUUAUUGGAUACCGUAAACUAUGAAUGGGUAUGUACAUGGAUUUGGACAAUUCAAUGAAUUUGGAUAUUAGGAAUUGGACUAA